AACGAACGCUGGCGGCAGGCUUAACACAUGCAAGUCGAACGGGCGUAGCAAUACGUCAGUGGCAGACGGGUGAGUAACACGUGGGAACCUUCCUAGGGGUACGGAACAACUCAGGGAAACUUGAGCUAAUACCGUAUACGUCCGUGAGGAGAAAGAUUUAUCGCCCUUAGACGGGCCCGCGUCGGAUUAGCUAGUUGGUGGGGUAACGGCCUACCAAGGCGACGAUCCGUAGCUGAUCUUAGAGGAUGAUCAGCCACACUGGGACUGAGACACGGCCCAGACUCCUACGGGAGGCAGCAGUGGGGAAUCUUGGACAAUGGGCGCAAGCCUGAUCCAGCCAUGCCGCGUGAGUGAAGAAGGUCUUCGGAUUGUAAAGCUCUUUUGCCAGGGACGAUAAUGACGGUACCUGGAGAAUAAGCCCGGCAAACUUCGUG
rnacentral:rRNA from 1 species